rnacentral:rRNA from 1 species
UACGGAGGAUCCGAGCGUUAUCCGGAUUUAUUGGGUUUAAAGGGUGCGCAGGCGGGAGAUUAAGUCGGCGGUGAAAUUUUGCAGCUCAACUGUAAAAGUGCCUUCGAAACUGGUUUCCUUGAGUGUAGAUGAAGUAGACGGAAUUUGUGGUGUAGCGGUGAAAUGCAUAGAUAUCACGAGGAACUCCGAUUGCGAAGGCAGCUUACUAAGCUACUACUGACGCUCAGGCACGAAGGCGUGGGGAUCAAACAGGAUUAGAUACCCCGGUAGUCCCU